GAGUGAAAACAACUUGAAGGUGCUUCACAACCCCAAAUUUAUGCCAAAGAAGGUUUUGGUGUUUCAUUUGAUGAAGGAGACCUUAACAAAGGAAAACCAGAAUUUGAUUCCAAAUCUUCUUGGCAAGACCAAAAGGUCCCAUCACAGGCUGAAGUCCCAUCUUCAUACAGAGAACGGUCGGAGUGCUGCCUGUGCUCUGCUGUUGCCACACUUCUCUGAGGGACAGCAGUGGCCUGGCCAGCAGGCCUCUGAGGUCAGGUUGCCAGGGAGUCCCAACCGUGGCUGAUCCAUCAUCUCUUCACUGGCACACAGCGGAGGGUUCUUUGCUUUGGUUAGUUAGUUAGUUAGUUUGUUUGUUUUUUACACAGUCUCAUUAGGUUGUUUUAAUAGCUGGGCUGUUUUCUCCCUAUUUGUUUUUCUUCUCCAGAAAAACGAAUUGCUGAUUUUCAGCUCACUGGUCAAUUUUAACUGUACUAUGUUUUAAUCUGCUCCAAACUUGCUACAAAUAAGAAUGUAACCUUUGCCUUCAGAAAGCAUGAUAUUUAGUUUAUCAUUCUCAGCUACUAGUGGGACCAUGACCUGCAUAGAAGUAUUCCACUAAUGUUCCAACUAGUAGGUGUGUGGCAGCAUUUUAUCACGACUAAUAAUAUGUGUUCAAAAAAUUGUUAUUGAUGUUGAGUAGGCUUGGCAAUGAACACUAAAAUAACUGACUUUUCAGUGUAUAAUAACAAAGCACCUGAGUGUCAAGCUGAAAUUUAAUCCAAAGGUACACGUUGGUCUUGGAAUGCUGUUUGGGGCAACAGCUGUGGUGAUCAUUUUAGUGGGAAGCCCUUAAUUAACCCAGCUGAGGGCUAGGUGUCUGUCUGAGUUAGGUGAAUGGACUUGCUUGUGGUGCAGUGGGAGACGCACCUGCCUCCUGUAGGGUAUCCGUCUUAGGCAUUUGUUUUUGAAAGCACUUUUCUCUCAGACUAACUGACGACUAACUCAGACCAGAUACUUAACCUUUAGAGAGAUGGAGGUAGAUGACAUGUCCUAGCCACGGUAUCAAUUUAAAUGUACAUGUAUGUAUGAAUUUUAUGUGUAUGUACACACAGCUUUGUAAAAUGUGGACUCCUCAAAAAGGAAUAAUAUUUCAAAAGCUUUUCAAUAUAAACAGAUUUGCUGAUGAAUUAAAACUGAUAUUGCUGUUUGGUUUUUCCUAGGAGUCUUAGCAUUGCACACAGCUGUUUUUUGUGUUUUAUACCUUUAUAUGUGCAUUAAUGUAGAAAUCUUCUUGAAAUGUUUGAAGAAAGGGAAUACAGAUUCAGGCAGAAGGUUUAAUGCCAGUUUAGCUUUCUAUUACGUAUUUCCUAUAAAAGUAAUCAUUUGGUUAUUUUUUCAUAGCUUGGUUCUUUAUCCAAAAUUAUGAGUAAAUACCAGUCACAAAUCAAAUAGCUUUUCAUCUUGUAGAGUUUUUUCCUCCAUGUUUCAUUAUUCUUAUGUUAGACGUCAUUGCUUGUAUAUCAUUUUAUCUUACUAAAAUUUGCUCUUCUAAAUUACAUUUUUAAUAGGAUUUGAAAACAAAGCAAAUUCAGACCCACUCUUUUUAAAUCUAUGGUAAGGAUGUGUAUUGCUUUCAUGUUAAUAGAGUAUUUCAUUUGAAAUUCUUUACUUUAUGCUAAGUCAGAGCUUUUUAUUGCUAAUGUAUUAAAUCCCUCAUUCCAAAGCAAAAAGGCAAGGGGAAAAAACAAAACAAAACAGCACCAUCAUUAAAAUAAAUAUUUGAUUCAAACAACA
rnacentral:lncRNA from 1 species